rnacentral:sRNA from 1 species
UUUGUGCCUUGAGGUACACUUGCCUGGC